GGUUAAGCGACUAAGCGUACACGGUGGAUGCCCUGGCAGUCAGAGGCGAUGAAGGACGUGCUAAUCUGCGAUAAGCGUCGGUAAGGUGAUAUGAACCGUUAUAACCGGCGAUUUCCGAAUGGGGAAACCCAGUGUGAUUCGUCACACUAUCAUUAACUGAAUCCAUAGGUUAAUGAGGCGAACCGGGGGAACUGAAACAUCUAAGUACCCCGAGGAAAAGAAAUCAACCGAGAUUCCCCCAGUAGCGGCGAGCGAACGGGGAGCAGCCCAGAGCCUGAAUCAGUGUGUGUGUUAGUGGAAGCGUCUGGAAAGGCGCGCGAUACAGGGUGACAGCCCCGUACACAAAAAUGCACAUACUGUGAGCUCGAUGAGUAGGGCGGGACACGUGGUAUCCUGUCUGAAUAUGGGGGGACCAUCCUCCAAGGCUAAAUACUCCUGACUGACCGAUAGUGAACCAGUACCGUGAGGGAAAGGCGAAAAGAACCCCGGCGAGGGGAGUGAAAAAGAACCUGAAACCGUGUACGUACAAGCAGUGGGAGCCUCUUAAUGGGGUGACUGCGUACCUUUUGUAUAAUGGGUCAGCGACUUAUAUUCUGUAGCAAGGUUAACCGAAUAGGGGAGCCGAAGGGAAACCGAGUCUUAACUGGGCGUUAAGUUGCAGGGUAUAGACCCGAAACCCGGUGAUCUAGCCAUGGGCAGGUUGAAGGUUGGGUAACACUAACUGGAGGACCGAACCGACUAAUGUUGAAAAAUUAGCGGAUGACUUGUGGCUGGGGGUGAAAGGCCAAUCAAACCGGGAGAUAGCUGGUUCUCCCCGAAAGCUAUUUAGGUAGCGCCUCGUGAAUUCAUCUCCGGGGGUAGAGCACUGUUUCGGCAAGGGGGUCAUCCCGACUUACCAACCCGAUGCAAACUGCGAAUACCGGAGAAUGUUAUCACGGGAGACACACGGCGGGUGCUAACGUCCGUCGUGAAGAGGGAAACAACCCAGACCGCCAGCUAAGGUCCCAAAGUCAUGGUUAAGUGGGAAACGAUGUGGGAAGGCCCAGACAGCCAGGAUGUUGGCUUAGAAGCAGCCAUCAUUUAAAGAAAGCGUAAUAGCUCACUGGUCGAGUCGGCCUGCGCGGAAGAUGUAACGGGGCUAAACCAUGCACCGAAGCUGCGGCAGCGACACUGUGUGUUGUUGGGUAGGGGAGCGUUCUGUAAGCCUGUGAAGGUGUACUGUGAGGUAUGCUGGAGGUAUCAGAAGUGCGAAUGCUGACAUAAGUAACGAUAAAGCGGGUGAAAAGCCCGCUCGCCGGAAGACCAAGGGUUCCUGUCCAACGUUAAUCGGGGCAGGGUGAGUCGACCCCUAAGGCGAGGCCGAAAGGCGUAGUCGAUGGGAAACAGGUUAAUAUUCCUGUACUUGGUGUUACUGCGAAGGGGGGACGGAGAAGGCUAUGUUGGCCGGGCGACGGUUGUCCCGGUUUAAGCGUGUAGGCUGGUUUUCCAGGCAAAUCCGGAAAACUAAGGCUGAGGCGUGAUGACGAGGCACUACGGUGCUGAAGCAACAAAUGCCCUGCUUCCAGGAAAAGCCUCUAAGCAUCAGGUAACAUCAAAUCGUACCCCAAACCGACACAGGUGGUCAGGUAGAGAAUACCAAGGCGCUUGAGAGAACUCGGGUGAAGGAACUAGGCAAAAUGGUGCCGUAACUUCGGGAGAAGGCACGCUGAUAUGUAGGUGAAGUCCCUCGCGGAUGGAGCUGAAAUCAGUCGAAGAUACCAGCUGGCUGCAACUGUUUAUUAAAAACACAGCACUGUGCAAACACGAAAGUGGACGUAUACGGUGUGACGCCUGCCCGGUGCCGGAAGGUUAAUUGAUGGGGUUAGCGGUAACGCGAAGCUCUUGAUCGAAGCCCCGGUAAACGGCGGCCGUAACUAUAACGGUCCUAAGGUAGCGAAAUUCCUUGUCGGGUAAGUUCCGACCUGCACGAAUGGCGUAAUGAUGGCCAGGCUGUCUCCACCCGAGACUCAGUGAAAUUGAACUCGCUGUGAAGAUGCAGUGUACCCGCGGCAAGACGGAAAGACCCCGUGAACCUUUACUAUAGCUUGACACUGAACAUUGAGCCUUGAUGUGUAGGAUAGGUGGGAGGCUUUGAAGUGUGGACGCCAGUCUGCAUGGAGCCGGCCUUGAAAUACCACCCUUUAAUGUUUGAUGUUCUAACGUUGGCCCCUGAUCGGGGUUGCGGACAGUGUCUGGUGGGUAGUUUGACUGGGGCGGUCUCCUCCUAAAGAGUAACGGAGGAGCACGAAGGUUGGCUAAUCCUGGUCGGACAUCAGGAGGUUAGUGCAAUGGCAUAAGCCAGCUUGACUGCGAGCGUGACGGCGCGAGCAGGUGCGAAAGCAGGUCAUAGUGAUCCGGUGGUUCUGAAUGGAAGGGCCAUCGCUCAACGGAUAAAAGGUACUCCGGGGAUAACAGGCUGAUACCGCCCAAGAGUUCAUAUCGACGGCGGUGUUUGGCACCUCGAUGUCGGCUCAUCACAUCCUGGGGCUGAAGUAGGUCCCAAGGGUAUGGCUGUUCGCCAUUUAAAGUGGUACGCGAGCUGGGUUUAGAACGUCGUGAGACAGUUCGGUCCCUAUCUGCCGUGGGCGCUGGAGAACUGAGGGGGGCUGCUCCUAGUACGAGAGGACCGGAGUGGACGCAUCACUGGUGUUCGGGUUGUCAUGCCAAUGGCACUGCCCGGUAGCUAAAUGCGGAAGAGAUAAGUGCUGAAAGCAUCUAAGCACGAAACUUGCCCCGAGAUGAGUUCUCCCUGACUCCUUGAGAGUCCUGAAGGAACGUUGAAGACGACGACGUUGAUAGGCCGGGUGUGUAAGCGCAGCGAUGCGUUGAGCUAACCGGUACUAAUGAACCGUGAGGCUUAACCUU
rnacentral:rRNA from 1 species